GGCUUUGGAGUACUCAGAUUGCUCUGUCGUGCAGCACACGGGUGUUUGUCAGCGACAGGAUUUUCUCCAGAGCUCACAUCUGAAUCUCUCCAUCAAAGAAUGUCGACUUUAGAAGAGUUUUUGUGGUGUUUGAUCGUGUUUUGGUGGGAGUGAUGAGAAGCAGCGGUGACAAGCAGCAGGAAGACGCGGAGAGAUGUGUGCCAGCGAGCCAUAUAGCAUUAGCACUGACUUCCGUAUCCUGUUUGUCAGAGAACAAAGCUUUUUGGUGACUGCCUUGAGUGUCUUCAUACACUGUAAAUACUGUAAAUAGUUUCUUUUAGUUUUUCAGUGACUUGAUAUGCAUAAUAAUUAGCAGAGAAA